AUGAUACAACACUUUGUCACCGUGGCCAACAAUAACCUAGCUUUCGGCGAUGGCACGAAACUUACAGUAAUGGGGAAGAACGAUGAAAUCAUACCUCCAGCUGUCGCCAUCUUUUCCCCAUCAAAGCAAGAGAUCCAACAGAAGAGCAAGGCCACACUGGUAUGCCUGGCCUCUGGUUUCUACCCUGACCACCUGGGUCUGGUCUGGAAGGUGAAUGGUGCUAAGAGGACAGAAGGGGUGGGGACAGAUGAGUCUUCCACACAAAACGGGAGUACCUACUCAUUGACCAGCCGACUGAGGAUCUCAGCCCAGGAAUGGUUCAACCCUGUGAACCGUUUUGAGUGUGUUGCCAAUUUUUUUAAGAAUGGAACAGCAGAAUCGAUACACAAAUUAAUCUACGGUGAUGCUGGCUGUGCACUCACAGAAGAAGACUAUCAGAGAAAUGCUACAGCUGGGAAGUUUGUGCACAUCGUGCUCAUUUCCAAGAGCGUUUUGUACGGGAUGUUUGAGAAGGGGCUAAUGCUUAAGUCCAAGGAGAGAAACAGAGUUCUAGUGUGUGCACAUUUAUCCUAA